AUUGAACGCUGGCGGCAGGCUUAACACAUGCAAGUCGAGCGGGGUGAUGGUGCUUGCACUAUCACUUAGCGGCGGACGGGGGAGUAAUGCUUAGGAAUCUGCCUAUUAGUGGGGGACAACAUCUCGAAAGGGAUGCUAAUACCGCAUACGUCCUACGGGAGAAAGCAGGGGAUCACUUGUGACCUUGCGCUAAUGGAUGAGCCUAAGUCGGAUUAGCUAGUUGGUGGGGUAAAGGCCUACCAAGGCGACGAUCUGUAGCGGGUCUGAGAGGAUGAUCCGCCACACUGGGACUGAGACACGGCCCAGACUCCUACGGGAGGCAGCAGUGGGGAAUAUUGGACAAUGGGGGGAACCCUGAUCCAGCCAUGCCGCGUGUGUGAAGAAGGCCUUAUGGUUGUAAAGCACUUUAAGCGAGGAGGAGGCUCUUUUGGUUAAUACCCAAGAUGAGUGGACGUUACUCGCAGAAUAAGCACCGGCUAACUCUGUGCCAGCAGCCGCAGUAA
rnacentral:rRNA from 1 species